rnacentral:lncRNA from 1 species
GAAGGCAUACAGUGACAGAAGCUUGGCUUGUCCCACAGCAACAUUUUCAGAACAGGACUCCAUGGCUUUCCUGAUGAUUCGACUGUGGCACCUUACAAUUGCAGUGAUGGUCUUCUCACACAUCUCAACCUCACUUCCUUCGCUGGGGAGGAACAAGAGGCAAGUUGAGCUCAAACUGAUGCAUGAUGCAGGAAUGAGGCGAGAAUAUGAGAAAGCUGCCAAGUUACUUCAGACACUGAUGAACUACAAGCGCAGUGUCCCAAAUACAUCUGAAGAAAAGGAUGCAUCUGGCUUGUUUGAUAAAAACAAUCUUGACUUGUGGAAUUUGGAGGAGAAGCUUCUUAAGCUGAAAACCUGCCUCCAGUUUGCACAGAACCUUGAUACAAGUCUUUUAGGCAAUGAAGUCAAUGAUGCCGCUCGAGUGAUUAGCCACUCCGUUUGCCAACAGAUUGCUGAAAUGAGUGAAGCAGCAUCUGGAGCAGCAUCUGAUGAAAACCAAAACUGAAGCAUCCAACAGUGGGAUGAUUCCUCUCCAAGGAAACGGCUGCUUCUGCUUCUCCCACCCCCUCUUGUGUGGAAAUGAAAUGUGCUAGGGAAAACAAAUAGCACAAUCAUGGAAAUACCAUAGGGAUUGUAGAUAAAGGAAGGGAAAUACAGCAGAGUCAGACAUUUGGAGCAAAUCUCAUGGCAGAAAGCUGAAUUCCUUAUUCUCAUCCUGUCUUCAACUUCUCCAAAAUCUAAUUUAAAAAAAACCUAUGCCACAAUUGGUUGCUUAUUGGUAAAAUGGGCCACAAGGGAAAUAAAGCUAACUUGCAGGUAGAUACA